rnacentral:misc_RNA from 1 species
UGGCUCUCGCAUCGAUGAAGAACGCAGCGAAAUGCGAUAAGUAAUGUGAAUUGCAGAAUUCAGUGAAUCAUCGAAUCUUUGAACGCACCUUGCGCCUUUUGGUAUUCCGAAAGGCAUGCCUGUUUGAGUGUCAUGAACUACUCACCCCGACGUUUUCUAAACGACGGGCGUGGAUUUGGGUGUCUGCCUUUGCUGGCUCACCUUAAAUGGAUUAGUGGAUGCGUUGGUCAUCUGGACGUGAUACGUUUCGUCUGUGAAGGCUGGUGCUGUCUGCUCCUAACCCGACUUUCGAGUCAACCCCAUUUGUUAUCAGACCUCAAAUCAGGUAGGACUACCCGCUGA